AAAAAACCCUAAAAUUAAUGUAUAGUGAUUGUUAAGAGAAGAAAUUAUAGUGAAAAUGCAAUAAUAAAUGUGUAGUAGGUAUGUAUAUAAUGUAUUGAUCAGGAGUGAAAUGCUACCGGAUCGGACUGGAUUGUGCGAUCCGGUAGUGAUCAUGGCUGGUAGUUCGACGAUCUGGUAGCGAUGGCGAAGUAAAACUCUGCCCACCCACCUGAGUGUCAUAACUUUCUGGUUUUAACCAGGAAAUAAUGUGUUUUUUACCUUCUGCGCAUGCACAGAAUUUUUUGCGCAUGUGCAGAAGGUCUGCACAUGCAUGUGACGCGCGGGUGAAACGAGUGCAUGCACAUGGCAUGUGCACUCCCGAGCCGGUAAGGAAGAAUUGGAAAUAACAGAAAGAGUUUCUGCAAGCAAUCUGAUCACUGCCAGCUCAUGAUCAGCCUUUCUCACAGCCCACACACCUCACCACAUCUGGUUGGGAGCUGCAAGGAGAGACUGGGAAGGGUGUGACCCUCCACCCUGCCCCCCCUGCUAGGGCUCUUCCCUUGGGAGUCCCAUGUAUAGCUGGCCAGAUCUUCCACACCUCCCUUCCCUUAGGCUUCUUGGCAUGCCCAGAAAGUGAAGGCGAGAUUCAAGGAAUUACCUAAGUAGAGGUGAUCCACUGAUUCUUUGUAUGCGGCGUUACAAAAUGCUUUGGGAAAGAUCAUCCAUCUGACAUUUGGGUCAACAAGAAUUGAAAAUUAGUACACAUGAAGACAAUGCACCAAGUUCAGGAAAGAACAACAUCAAGAAUUGGAAAUAACAGAAACUAGGACAUCAGUAUCGAUUUAUGGUUUUAGCACGGUAUAGAAAUAAAGUGUUCACAGAAAUAGAAUCAAACUGUAAUGAUCUACCCAGUGCAAAGAAAUUGAAGCCUUGCCACAAGUAACUCAGAUUGUAGAGGCAAACUAGAGGGAAUCAGCAGUAAAGGACUAGCUAUUGAAUCAUUUUCAUUCUCAAACCAUCUCUCUGCCUUCUCCACAGAAAAAGAAAAGCCCUCCAGGAAGAAAAAAAAACAGGAAUUGAAACAAAGAAUAACUGAAUAUCUAAAACAGCACAAAAACAUUAUAAUAAGGUUGCCUACAUUACAAAGAAAUACAUUACAAAGAAAUACCUAGCACAAAUAUUAAAAGAUGCCAAUAUUGUACUAUAGAAUAUAAGCACUAUCUCACUAUAAUAGAAAUCCAGUCUAAACAUAUGGCUGAUUCUAACCAACCAUAAUAAAUUUCAGCCUUGCCUCUUCCUAACUAUCCAUUGUUGAAGCAAUCAAUAGCCAGGGAUAUCCAUUGUUGAAGCGAUCAAUAGCCAGGGAUAUUAGACAUAGAGGUGGGCCUUUUCCAUCCUGAAUUAGUCCUAUAGUUCACCAGGAACUGAAAUGCAGCAGUUAAAUCAGGGCUGUCAAACUCUCGACCCACGGGCCGGAUGCAUCACAUGAUGGCCACACCUGAUUUAGCAAAAAGGGAAAAAAAUUCCUAAUAUGUCACAUGAUGCUGCUGUGACAACAUGAGUUUGACACCCCUGAAUUAGGUAGACCUCCAUUAAGAUUAGACUGUGAGCUCUUCAAACAACAUAAUACCACUUAUGAUAAGAACAAAACAAUAAGUGAAACUAGAAUUUGAAAUAUUAAAGAUGCAUAAAAAUAUGAUUAGCAGUGAAAUAUUAGAACUAAGUAAUGGGUGAUUAGCUAAUGAAAGAACAUAUUUCAAAUAUAUUUUAAAGUAAACAUGCGUAUUAACAGUAGAAUGACAUUAGAAAUAAAAAACGGGUGAUUAGACAAUGAAAAUAUAUUUUAAUAUACAUAUGUAUAUUAAUAGAAUUAUACUCUGUAUCAUAAAAUUACGUAUUAAUGAUUGUGAUUGGUACUAGGAGUGUAUAUUGAGUCAAUGAAUAAUGAAAGAUUGAAGGAUGAAUUUUUGCAGUGGUGGGUCACCCAGAUCAGGCGAACUGUUAGAGGCGGUGGUGGGAUGCUCCAUCCACCCAUCAUUUCACUCAUUUCAUAUAUCCAUGGUUUAACUAUAGUUUAUUAAUCAAACCAUAUUAAACCAUACAUUGUGAUUCACAAAGCCUAAUGAUUUGCUGUUUACACAGCACACUGUGUUAUGGCUUAGCUCAAAAUAUGAACUACCAAUGUACACAUACAAUGUCAAACUAAUUUAUGGGUGGGUUGAUCGGUUUGCAAGCUAUCACAUCUUGUUUUAUACUCACUAAAUAAUAAUGGGUGAGUUUAUCCUAGAUUUUAUGCUAAAUGAAAUCUAACUAUAUUGGAACUUAGUAUUAGUCAUAUUAUAGAAUUCACUAUGUCCGUACAUAGUAAGUUUCACUUAGGCAAUCAGUAGCUUCUGAGGGAUUUAGUCUCCUUACAGUCAAGCCCGUUUUAAAGUCAUUUUCUUAAGACUGCUAGGAUAACAGAUGACACACAUACAUCACUUUUACAAUCCCUCCAAACUAUGCUGAAGCUAGUAGUAAAAUCUUUUGCAUUCCUGCAGACCCUGGAAUGCAGAGCGCAGAAAGGAAAUGAGUAACAGGUGAACAGAGAAGCCCUGGCAGCCAUUCAAGCCACAUCCUGAUAUUUAUUGGUUUAGUAAACAUAUUAUUUACAAGGUGUUAUAAUGUUUGAACACUAUGCUUGUCUGCCAUUUAUUAAAGCAAUCUAUUUUUUACCCAUGAGAUUAAAAAAUGUUGCUACUUAAAAGAGUUGCACUGUGAGUUGACACACAGAAUACAUGGAGUUUAAAACAGCAGCAGCUUUUGGAUAAGUAAUAGAGGGGUGCUCUGCUUGCAUGAAUUCGGAAGUAAUUUCCUCCUAAAUAUUUUCAUUGUGUGCGGUAAAAGGAACAGUGUGUUCCAAAGUGCUCUAAGUUGCCUAGUAAUUUUCUAAUAUUGGCCACAGUUACCCAUCUGAUCUAAAACUUUCUCAUUUUAAUUGCAUGUUGAAUUUAUUAGUUCAGGCACCCAUAGCAGUCUUACUUCUUUUGCAGCAAAGUUGCACACACAAAAAAUCACCCACCUCCCAGGAAUCUCAUUGCUUUGAUAGCACCUGUUUUAGAUAUGCUGAUUUCUUUGUAACUGCUGUUAAGUCUCCUGUCAGUGUUCCAGCAAAACCCCUCGCCAAGUAAAAACUCCGAAGCACGCAUCUUUCAAAGUUCUUUUACUAGGAUAGGUAAACUGGCAUAUCUGGGAAAAUCCAAAUCUGAGAGAUCCGAGCUUUCCCUCAGUAAAUCAAAACCCCCAAAACCACCCCGACUCCUCUGCCGAUCACAUGCUUCAAUCGCCAACCGUCCCAUCCUGAGACAUCACUCCGACCACUCCUUCUCCAGAUGCAGGACCGGCCUGACCUUGACCGACAGGAAGA